GGGGGGGGGGGGGGGGGGGGUGGGGGGGGGGGGGGGGGGCGGGGGGGGCCGGGGGGGGGGGGGUGCUCGAGGGGCGGCAGGGUGAGUAACGCGUGGGUAGCCUGCCCUGGACUUUGGGUUGCCUUCAGGAACCUGGGGCUUGUGCCGGGUGGGGGCGCCUUCUGCAUGGUGGGGGUGUGAAAGUUUGGGCGGGUGGGGAUGGACUGUCGGCUGAUACUGUUGUUGGUGGGUUAGUGGCUUUCCAAGGCGUUGCCGGGUCGCCGGCCUGAGAGGGUGACCGGCCACAUGGGGACUGAGAUACGGCCCAGACUCCUACGGGAGGCAGCAGGGGGGAAUAUUGCACAAUGGGCGGAAGCCUGAUGCAGCAACGCCGCGUGCGGGAUGACGGCCUUCGGGUUGUAAACCGCGUUCGCCUGUGACGAAGCGUGAGUGACGGUAAUGGGUAAAGAAGCACCGGCUAACUACGUG
rnacentral:rRNA from 1 species